UACGAAGGGGCUAGCGUUGCUCGGAAUCACUGGGCGUAAAGGGUGCGUAGGCGGGUCUUUAAGUCAGGGGUGAAAUCCUGGAGCUCAACUCCAGAACUGCCUUUGAUACUGAAGAUCUUGAGUUCGGGAGAGGUGAGUGGAACUGCGAGUGUAGAGGUGAAAUUCGUAGAUAUUCGCAAGAACACCAGUGGCGAAGGCGGCUCACUGGCCCGAUACUGACGCUGAGGCACGAAAGCGUGG
rnacentral:rRNA from 1 species